UGGGGAAUUUUGGACAAUGGGGGAAAGCCUGAUCCAGCAAUGCCGCGUGUGUGAAGAAGGCCUUCGGGUUGUAAAGCACUUUUGUCCGGAAAGAAAUCCUUGGCUCUAAUACAGUCGGGGGAUGACGGUACCGGAAGAAUAAGCACCGGCUAACUACGUGCCAGCAGCCGCGGUAAUACGUAGGGUGCAAGCGUUAAUCGGAAUUACUGGGCGUAAAGCGUGCGCAGGCGGUUUGCUAAGACCGAUGUGAAAUCCCCGGGCUCAACCUGGGAACUGCAUUGGUGACUGGCAGGCUAGAGUAUGGCAGAGGGGGGUAGAAUUCCACGUGUAGCAGUGAAAUGCGUAGAGAUGUGGAGGAAUACCGAUGGCGAAGGCAGCCCCCUGGGCCAAUACUGACGCUCAUGCACGAAAGCGUGGGGGAGCAAACAGGAUUAGGUACCCUGGUAGUCCACGCCCUAAACGAUGUCAACUAGUUGUUGGGGGAUUCAUUUCCUUAGUAACGUAGCUAACGCGUGAAGUUGACCGCCUGGGGGAGUACGGUCGCAAGAUUAAAACUCAAAUGAAUUGAC
rnacentral:rRNA from 1 species